UGGACUGGCUUUUGUGGCCUUGGUCCACCCUACGGCGGGGGAAGUCCCC
rnacentral:sRNA from 18 species